rnacentral:rRNA from 1 species
AUGUUCCCACAGCCGAAUGCCUUUGGACCACUGCGGCCUCCUCAGCCUCCGCCAUGGCAGUGGCAGUGGCAGCAGCAGCAGCAGCACCACCACCACCACCCGCACCAGCAGCUCCCUUUCCAGCCUGAGGCGGCGGCACUGGCGGCGGCCAGUUCCUUUUGGCAGCGUGACAAUGUGCGGGAGCAUUUGAAGAAGCUGCAAGAGACCGUCGCGAUUUCAAGCGCUCUGAUAAACGAGCUAGAGGAGAUUGCACUUGUGAGGAAUUCAUCGGAUGCUAGUGCACAAGAACCAGAUUCGUCUGCAGUAGCAUCGUCUUCAGGGUCUGGCGUCUCUUCUCCAGGCAGGCCUUGCCAUUUUUCAGAGCUUGCAAGUGAAAUCAAGAUUAGCCAAGACACUCAUGAAUCUCUGGCGACAGAUGCGGCCAAUUAUCUCUGUUCUCAACUUCAGCACCUCCUGGCACCUAUUUCUUCCGCUAUUAACCAAGACGGUCCCUGGGCAGAAAAAUCGGCAAUGGUUUCGUUAGCUCAGAAGCUGCAGAAGUCCAAGAGAAAUAAGCGAUGGAGGAAGAGGAAGAGAAAGCAUGUAGCAGAGCUUUUCCAGAAGGAAAGUGCAGAAUUUGACAGAGUUGAUCAGGAAGCUGAUGAAUGGAGGGCUAGGCAAAUAGCUAAUGACAUUGCAAAACGCAAGGUGGAAAGCAUGAAGCAGAUUGCCAAGAAGAAAGCAAAUGAGGAAAGAAAACGUCUAGAAUCUGAGCUCGAGCUUGCACUAAUGGUCGAGAAACUACAGGAGCUCCGCUCUGUAAGGGUUGAAAAACUGAAGAAACAAGGUCAUUUUCUGCCAGAAGAGGAUGAUAAAUAUCUUGAGCGUGUCAAGGCUGCAGUUGAGGAAGAGGAGCGCCAAGCUGCAACUGCUGCCCGAACUGAUGCUGCGAAGGAUGCUAUUCUCACCGCUGAGGAAUCAAGGAAGGCUGCCCAUAAUACAACUGCUCAAGAAGAUGGCCUUGGACAACCUAAAAGUGGGUCGGCGCCAGAGCAGAACCAAGGAGAUGCAAGCAUAAGUGAGAGAAGUGAUCAUGCAAGUCAAAAGACAGAACAUGAUGAUCAAAAGGUCGAGAUAAAAGGUCCUGUGCAUUCCGAAUCUCUGACCAAUCUGCCUUUUGAGUUCUACCACUAUUAUCAUGGAAGUAGCUAUGACCUGGGGACACUCAUUGAGGUACGCAGAAUGUGGGAUUCUUUUAUCAGACCUGGAGGAAGCCGUAUACCUGGCCACUGGGUUCAGCCACCCCCUCCAGCUAAUGAUGUAUGGGCAUCAUAUUUGGUGCAGCCCAAGUAA